rnacentral:rRNA from 1 species
AGAGUUUGAUCCUGGCUCAGAUUGAACGCUGGCGGCAUGCCUUACACAUGCAAGUCGAACGGCAGCGCGGGAGCAAUCCUGGCGGCGAGUGGCGAACGGGUGAGUAAUAUAUCGGAACGUGCCUUAGAGUGGGGGAUAACUAGUCGAAAGACUAGCUAAUACCGCAUACGACCUACGGGUGAAAGUGGGGGAUCGCAAGACCUCAUGCUCUUAGAGCGGCCGAUAUCUGAUUAGCUAGUUGGUGGGGUAAAAGCCUACCAAGGCGACGAUCAGUAGCUGGUCUGAGAGGACGACCAGCCACACUGGGACUGAGACACGGCCCAGACUCCUACGGGAGGCAGCAGUGGGGAAUUUUGGACAAUGGGGGCAACCCUGAUCCAGCAAUGCCGCGUGUGUGAAGAAGGCCUUCGGGUUGUAAAGCACUUUUGUUCGGAAAGAAAUCGCUCUGGCUAAUAUCCGGAGUGGAUGACGUACCGAAGAU